rnacentral:rRNA from 1 species
UGCUCUCACACAUCCAUCUCACCCCUAUGUGCACCACCGCGUGGGUCCCCCUUCUGGCUCNUUCCNAGGGGGGCUCGCGUUUUCACACAAACUUGACGCANUGUAGAAUGUCUUUUUUCUUUUGCGAUCACACNCAAUCAAUACAACUUUCAACAACGGAUCUCUUGGCUCUCGCAUCGAUGAAGAACGCAGCGAAAUGCNAUACGUAAUGUGAAUUGCACAAUUCANUGAAUCAUCNAAUCUUUGAACGCACCUUGCGCCCCUUGGCAUUCCGAGGGGCACACCCGUUUGAGUGUCGUGAAAUUCUCAAAACCCUUUCUUUUUGGUCUUUCGAUCNAANAAAGGCUUUUGGACUUGGAGGCUUUUUGCUGGUUUCACCUUGAAGCGAGCUCCUCCUAAAUGAAUCAGUGGGGUCCGCUUUGCUGAUCCUUGACGUGAUAAGAUGUUUCUACGUCUUGGGUUUUGGCACUGUCCCUUGGGCACCUGCUUCAAACCGUCUCAUUGACAACGAUGGUGUUCCGGUCACCGCC